UCUAUUUAUCUGUCACACUUUCAAGGUCGGUCCCUGAAAAUAUUGUCUGACAUUAAACCGGUCCGUGGGGCAAAAAAGCAACGAUGGAUUCCACGUCAAAAUAUUUUCCUGCUGGCUUUAAAACACAAAGCAGUGGAGCUUUUUCGAUGGGAUCGGCUCAUUGAAGAGAAGUACGGGUCACUCACGAACGACAUUCAUCGUAAUGCGGAACACAGGCGCUGACUGGUGGUGUCUGUUUCUACAAAGACAGAGGAUCAACUUCACAACAGAAGAAUGCGGACAUUUAGAAUUAUCAGGAGAAAACAGCAGGGCGGGAAGACAAAGACACAUGCACACAGACACAAGUGUGUGCGUGUGUGUGUGUGUGUGUUUAAAGCUCUAAGAAGUGCCAUGACAAAAUGAACUUAAAAGCAUUUGAUGCAUUCUGCUGAAUAUUUGAAGUGAUUAUCAUUGUAUCUCUGUAACAUGUCAAAAAGAAUAUGCUGACAUUUAAAAGUAGUAAAUUAAAAAUGUACUAUUAAGCUUAUAGUCCGUAGUUGUGAGUGUACUUUUAGUGUACGAUAAUUUGGAGAAGCAUUUCUAAUAUGUUGUUUUGUUGUUGGCACUGCUUUUUAAAAUGUAACCGUACCUAACAAAAUGGUCGGUGAGUGGAUGAAUCCGAUGACAAAUCAUCCUCCCACUUGAGGUCAGAUCGCGGAGGCUGCAGUUUAAGCAGGGAAGCCCAGACUUCCCUCUCCCCCAGCCACUUCUUCCAACUCCACUGGCGGGAUCCCAAAGCAUUCCCAGUACAACACAUUACCUCCAGUGUGUCCUGGGUCAUCCCCGAGGCCUCCUACUUGUGGGUCGUACCUGGAACACCUCCCCUGGGAGGCAUCUGGGACGCAUUCUGAUCAGAUGCCCGGGCCACUUCAUCUGGCUCCUCUCAAUGUGGAAGAGCAGUAAUGCUACUCGGAUCACUCUUUCGGUUGACCAAGCUUUCCCCCCGUAGAGAAGCCCGGACACCCUGCGGAGGAAACUGCAAACG